UAGAGUUGUAAAACUCCCAAACCCAUGUGAACAUACCUCUGUUGCCUCGGUGGCCUACCCUGUAGUUACCCUGUAGCUACCCUGUAGUCCGCCGAAGGACCAAAACUCUUUUAUUAUUGUAUCUCUGAGUAAAAAACAAAUAAGUUA
rnacentral:misc_RNA from 1 species